GAUUAACGCUGGCGGCGUGUCUAAUACAUGCAAGUCGAGCGCAGGAAACCGUCUGAACCCUUCGGGGGGACGACGGUGGAAUGAGCGGCGGACGGGUGAGUAACACGUAAAGAACCUGCCCAUAGGUCUGGGAUAACCACGAGAAAUCGGGGCUAAUACCGGGUGUGUCAUCGGACCGCAUGGUCCGCUGAUGAAAGGCGCUCCGGCGUCGCCCACGGAUGGCUUUGCGGUGCAUUGGCGAGUUGGUGGGGUAACGGCCCACCAAGGCGACGAUGCAUAGCCGACCUGAGAGGGUGAUCGGCCACACUGGGACUGAGACACGGCCCAGACUCCUACGGGAGGCAGCAGUAGGGAAUCUUCCACAAUGGACGAAAGUCUGAUGGAGCAACGCCGCGUGAACGAUGAAGGCUUUCGGGUCGUAAAGUUCUGUUGUAAGGGAAGAACAAGUGCCGCAGGCAAUGGCGGCACCUUGACGGUACCUUGCGAGAAAGCCACGGCUAACUACGUGCCAGCCGCCGCGGUAA
rnacentral:rRNA from 1 species